AAUUUGUUUUAUUUUCUUUUAUACCACGCUACUUUUUCGAAUUACACGUGAUAAUUGGAAAUCUCUCUUUGUCAAUAUGCUACUUUUUUAUAUAACACACUAGCUUCUGCCCCGCACAUACGUGCAUAUUUCAUAUUU
rnacentral:sRNA from 1 species